ACCAGUUACCGGAGUAGUUCUUGUUGUCGUUCCCAAAAUCAAAAUGGAGGGUUUGAUGUGGGAAGGAGAACCAUUACACAUAGCUUGGUGGAGAUCAAAGAGAAGACAGAAGAUACAGAUCUUUGAAAUUCUUGUCAUAAUGAAUUAUCCUUUCAAAACUAAAUUGUUAGUUCCCUUGUUAUCCUGAUAUGAGCAGAAGUACCCGGUCUAGAACCUCUUCUUAAGGAUGGUCUCAGAAUUUAGACGUGAGAUAUUCUUCUUCUCAAGGUUCUCAUUCAUGGGAGAAACAUAAUAGAGAAAAAGAUCAGUUGGGAUUGGGGAAGGGUGUACAGUUAAUCAUUGAAUUAGAGAUUCUUUUAAAUUUCUCACAGUUUCCAAAUUGGUUUUAAUUAGGAAAAUCUCACAGUUUCCAAAUUGGUUUUAAUCUGGUUCAUAGCUAAUCUAUAUUUUUGAAACACAUAAUUAGAAUAUGAUAUUCUAGGA